UCGGGAAUAUUGCGCAAUGGAGGAAACUCUGACGCAGUGACGCCGCGUAUAGGAAGAAGGUUUUCGGAUUGUAAACUAUUGUCGUUAGGGAAGAAAAAGGACAGUACCUAAGGAGGAAGCUCCGGCUAACUACGUGCCAGCAGCCGCGGUAAUACGUAGGGAGCGAGCGUUAUCCGGAUUUAUUGGGUGUAAAGGGUGCGUAGACGGGUCUACAAGUUAGUUGUGAAAUCCCUCGGCUCAACUGAGGAACUGCAGCUAAAACUAUAGAUCUUGAGUGCAGGAGAGGUAAGUGGAAUUCCUAGUGUAGCGGUGAAAUGCGUAGAUAUUAGGAGGAACACCAGUGGCGAAGGCGACUUACUGGACUGUAACUGACGUUGAGGCACGAAAGUGUGGGGAGCAAACAGG
rnacentral:rRNA from 1 species